GUGGGGAAUAUUGCACAAUGGGCGAAAGCCUGAUGCAGCAACGCCGCGUGAGCGAUGAAGGUCUUCGGAUCGUAAAGCUCUGUCCUCAAGGAAGAAUUUUGACGGUACUUGAGGAGGAAGCCCCGGCUAACUACGUGCCAGCAGCCGCGGUAAUACGUAGGGGGCUAGCGUUAUCCGGAAUUAUUGGGCGUAAAGGGUGCGUAGGCGGUCCUACAAGUCAGAGGUGAAAGGCUACGGCUCAACCGUAGUAAGCCUUUGAAACUGUAGGACUUGAGUGCAGGAGAGGAGAGUGGAAUUCCCAGUGUAGCGGUGAAAUGCGUAGAUAUUGGGAGGAACACCAGUUGCGAAGGCGGCUCUCUGGACUGUAACUGACGCUGAGGCACGAAAGCGUGGGGAGCGAACAGGAUUAGAUACCCUAGUAGUCC
rnacentral:rRNA from 1 species